rnacentral:rRNA from 1 species
CAAGUCGAACGCGAAAAGGGCUUCGGCUCUUAGUAGAGUGGCGAACGGGUGAGUAACACGUGGGUGACCUACCUUCGAAUGGGGGAUAACGUCCCGAAAGGGACGCUAAUACCGCAUAACAUCCUGCUUUUGAACAGGUGGAGAUCAAAGCCGGGGAUCGCAAGACCUGGCGUUUGAAGAGGGGCCCGCGUCUGAUUAGCUAGUUGGUGAGGUAACGGCCCACCAAGGCGACGAUCAGUAUCCGGCCUGAGAGGGCGGACGGACACACUGGGACUGAGACACGGCCCAGACUCCUACGGGAGGCAGCAGUGGGGAAUUGUUCGCAAUGGGCGCAAGCCUGACGACGCAACGCCGCGUGGAGGAUGAAGGUCUUCGGAUUGUAAACUCCUGUUGCCCGGGACGAAAAGCUUCGACCUAACACGUCGAAGUCUGACGGUACCGGGUGAGGAAGCCCCGGCUAACUCUGUGCCAGCAGCCGCGGUAAUACAGAGGGGGCAAGCGUUGUUCGGAAUUACUGGGCGUAAAGGGCGCGUAGGCGGCCUUCUAAGUCGAACGUGAAAUCCCCGGGCUCAACCCGGGAACUGCGUCCGAUACUGGAAGGCUUGAAUUCGGGAGAGGGAUGCGGAAUUCCAGGUGUAGCGGUGAAAUGCGUAGAUAUCUGGAGGAACACCGGUGGCGAAGGCGGCAUCCUGGACCGGCAUUGACGCUGAGGCGCGAAAGCCAGGGGAGCAAACGGGAUUAGAUACCCCGGUAGUCCUGGCCCUAAACGAUGAAUGCUUGGUGUGGCGGGUAUCGAUCCCUGCCGUGCCGAAGCUAACGCAUUAAGCAUUCCGCCUGGGGAGUACGGUCGCAAGGCUGAAACUCAAGGAAUUGACGGGG